AUAGAACGCUGGCGGCAGGCCUAACACAUGCAAGUCGAGCGAGCGGCGGACGGGUGAGUAAUGUAUGGGGACUGCCCGAUAGAGGGGGAUAACUACUGGAAACGGUAGCUAAUACCGCAUACUAUCGGAUAACCCAUAUGGGAUUAGCUAGUAGGUGAGGUAAUGGCUCAACGAGGUGACGAUCCCUAGCUGGUCUGAGAGGUUGACCAGCCACACUGGGACUGAGACACGGCCCAGACUCCUACGGAGGCAGCGGUGGGGAAUAUUGCACAAUGGGCGCAAGCCUGAUGCAGCCAUGCCGCGUGUAUGAAGAAGGCCCUAGGGAUGUAAAGUACUUUCAGUCGGGAGGCGUUACCGACAGAAGAAGCCCCGGCUAACUCCGUGCCAGCAGCCGCGGUAAUAC
rnacentral:rRNA from 1 species